GAGCAGUUUGUCUGCUCCACCCUUGUGAGUAUCUUUCUAUCUUAUUUUAUUAAUUUUAUUUAAUUCAGUGAGCACUACUGGUUGUUUUUCCUCUCUAUCUUGUUUGAGUGCAAUACCUAUCCGUGGAAGAAGAAUCCUGCACCAUAUCCUGCAAGCGGGGAUCAUACCACUACACGCCUUUUACACUAAGAGCUAGUCACAGCUCUACUACAUGUGAGUGCAAUACCUUUCUUCUUACCAUCUCCUGUACCACAUUGGAC